rnacentral:rRNA from 1 species
UACGUAGGGGGCAAGCGUUGUUCGGAAUGACUGGGCGUAAAGGGUGCGUAGGCGGUGUAGCAAGUUAGAAGUGAAAUACCUAGAGCUUAACUCAGGAGCUGCUUCUAAAACUGCUAUACUUGAGUGCAGUAGAGGAAAGUGGAAUUCCUAGUGUAGCGGUGGAAUGCGUAGAUAUUAGGAGGAACAUCAGUGGCGAAGGCGACUUUCUGGACUGUAACUGACGCUGAGGCACGAAAGUGUGGGGAGCAAACAGG